GUCCCGUUCCGGCUCCCAACGGCGCACACCAGCUUUGUGUUGGAAGCUCUGAUCCGCCACACGACGCCUCCGCUUCCCCCGCUCUCCAAUCAGGACAAGUGCAUACUUGGAUAUUCAUGAAAAUGAACUUAGCCGUGCAGAAUGAAGUGACCACGAUGCAUGCUUUUCUCCAAGUCCCUUUGAAGUGUUAUUAUGGGAUUACUCUACCGAUUUUGACUGUAGAAUCAGCAUUUCCAGACACGAGUAUAUUGUCCUUAAGUUCCAUUCCACUUGUCAAAGACUGGUGGCCUGUGAGU